rnacentral:rRNA from 1 species
UAGUGGCAGACGGGUGAGUAACACGUGGGUGACCUACCUUUUCGUUGGGGAUAACAGUUGGAAACGAUUGCUAAUACCGAAUAAAAUAUAAGAGUCAAUUUUAUAUUGAAAGGAGCCUUUAAAGCUUCGCGAUUAGAUGGGCCUGCGGCGUAUUAACUAGUUGGUGGGGUAAUGGCCUACCAAGGUAACGAUGCGUAGCCGAACUGAGAGGUUGAUCGGCCACACUGGGACUGAGACACGGCCCAGACUCC